GAGGGCUGAGUUGCAGGCGGCGGGCGCAUCCCGGAGAUGGCGGGGCAGGGAGGGAGGGAAGGAGGAGGGGUUCGGGAAGGAGGUGCAGAUUUGCACGGCUGGCCUCAGCGGGAGGCGCGGAAAUGCAAGCCGAGCUCGCUGGCGUGAAAGCCCCCGGGGCCUGGCACCCCCAAAAACGACCCCCCACCUUAAUCCCUGCCCCCAUUUGCCCAAGGCCCCCACGGGCUACCCCUCUUCCUCUUCCCUCAUCCACCCCACCCUAUUACCUACGUGGCCGACCCAAAUUCAAAACAUUUUGUAUAUAUAAUUUUUCUUUUUUUGCUUUGCUGCUGCAUGUGGUUUUUAGGGGGCUGGGGACGAUCCUCCCCAGACCCCCAGGUGCGGACCUGCCAUAUGGAGAAGGCAUCUGGGGACUCAGGAAGAAAUUAGCGCAGCUCCAUACCUGUACGGACUGCACAGCUUUUAAACUCCGGGACUCAAAGAUAUGGACCCCCCACAUACACACACAGGUACAGGAAAUACAGCCAGACCAGAGCCUUUUCAGACCCGAGCUGACCGGAAGACGUUGCCUUUCAUUCAUUCAUUCUGCCCGCGUCUGUGGAGUCCUUUACUAGGCGACGAGCCCUGGAACAGAAAUUGGACAUUUUUUAAAGGUCCCUGCGCUCGCCAAGAGGAGGAAAUAGAUGCUCAGGAGUGAACUACCGAGAGAAUCGGAUCUGGCGCCUCCUAACGCAGCUGGCAAACAGGAGGAGGUCCCUUGGAGAUUGAAGCAUCAGAGUGAGAAAGAGCAGAGUCACAUACAGCCUGACACUGGCUUUGGUCAUGUGGGGAAGACUUCAGUUUCUAUCCAGAGGUCUGCAUUUUCUAAUGUCCUCUUCCUGUGGGAGGAUUGGAAGGAAACUUGGAAAUAACAGCAGCUAUUCACGGCAAAGGACAGGCCUUUUGCCCUGGGGAGGCUAAGAUGUUCUGAAAUGCGGAGGGCAGUUGGCUCUGAUUCCCAGCCUGGAGAGAGAAAUCUCUGAGAUCGCCCCUUGAGAGCAGGUGAGUUUGUCCAACCCUAGCACAAAACCCUUUCUCAUUCAGAACACUUCUCAGAAUUAUAAUAAAAUCCUCAUGUGUUAACAGUCUAAUGUCUGUCUCUCUCAUUAAAAGGAAAAGUCCCUGAAAGACUGACCUUGGGCUUGUUCACUGCUUAUCCUCAGCCCCUGAGGGCCUGGUUCAUAAAAUAUACUCAACGAAUGUUGAAUGAAUUCCUCAAACACCAAAAUAUGUCUAUUUUCAGCUUGAAAAACAAACCUUAAAAUGUACCUCUUUGAAGAAGACACAAAGGUUCUAAGAGGCCCUCUUGAAGUGCAACAGACAAGGUGGUGUGCCUGCGGGAGGGGGUGCUCUACACCUUUCUAUCUCCGAAGCCCAGGCUCUCCUUCCCUGUAUUCCAGACUGCGUCUCCGCCUCCCCUUCACGAGGCCACCUGGGAACAGGGGACCAGCUGUCAUCGCCCUCAGCUGAGGCCUGCAAACGUGCACUCCGCGUCAUGGCCCCAGACCCCCCUGUCUGGGAGGCCCCUCAAGCUGGCGAUGCUGUGUUGGGGGAAGGGGAGGCCAAUAUUUGCAAGCGAGUGUGGCUUCCCCAAGGCAGGGUCAGGACUAAUCGCUCCGUCGCCAGCCU